ensembl:lncRNA
CAAACAGUAGACACAAUACACACAUUCAAGUACUGUACUUUAGUUUUAAAUUUUAAUAAAGCAUUACUAUUUUCUACUCCAAGGCAUUACUUUUGAGAUUAUUAUAUAUUUUUGAAAAUACAGCAUAAUGAUAAUACUAGUUAUUGUAAACUUUACAAACCACCCAGCAGUAUGUAAAGUCAAAUUAUAAGAUACAAGUAAAUAACAAUUGCAGAACAGAAUGUCAGUGUAAUGAACACACACUUCGUUUUGACAAAGCACAGCUUAGGUAAAUGAUCUGAGUAGUUGUUCAUCACUGAGCAAUUUGUUAAUAUGUGUUUCGAGCCAAAUAAAUGACAGAGAGAGAGAGUGACGUCAGAACACGUCAUGCUAUAACCUCCCGGGAGCGAACGGAGGGGGUCAGUCGUUGGGAUGCGCAUGCGCAGACAGAGUGUGCGAGCGGCGGGCCUUGACCUUUCGGGGGAAAAAACUCACGGACGGUGACAGCGAAACGGAUAACAGUCUUCAGUACCUGCUGGACUUUGAAGCUGUGGAUUCUGGGACUGUUAGAAAAGCUCCAACAAAAUGAGGAAGAGGAGGGGCAGAAACACAAUUAGAUUGAAUUACAAUUGGAUGGAAGUUGAGGACAAGGAGAAGGAAGCUUUGGAUGAGGAGGAAGAGAAGCAGCAGGAGCAUCUUUAGGGAUCCCUAUGAUGUCAUUGAGAGGCAGCGGCGAGAGGGGAGACCUCGGGUCAUCCAGCUGGAGAGCCUGACCAGGAGGAGUCGAACAUUAACUCAGCUCUUCCAGGGCACCCUGCAGACUCGGCUGUUGGCAUCGACGAGGGAUGACGUGAACGCCAAACUGGAGUCCAUCACAGGUCAACUGCAGCUCCUUGUCUCAGAGUGGGAGGGAUUUGAAGCACAAAGGGAGGAACUUGUCAUUUGGUUGGCUGAUAUGGAUGUCCGCCUGAGUGAGGUUGACCAGCUGACAGGAAACACCAGUGAAAAACUGAAACAACUGCAGGUGUGGGCUUGUUUUGAUAUGACAUAUAUUUGAUAUGAAACAUACGUCAGAGACAUUGUCCUAAACUGGACUAACAAAGGACCAUGAGUACAACAUGAAAAGUACAUUACAUAGCGUAAGGCUGAAGUUCAUUGAUCAUUUUAAUCAUAAACUUGUUGUUGAAAUGUUUUUACUGAACAUGCAAAUAUCUGCUGAUGAAAAUGUGUUGAUUUAUUGGUCUGUUAUGAAGCUAUUGCUAUUUCUAAUGUGUUUUAUCACUUUCUGAUGUUUUAUUAAUUAAACAAUACAUGUAUUAUUUGUUGUGUUAUCUGUAGAUAUAGUAUUUAUAUAUAUAUUUAUUUAUAGUAUAGCCAAUAUAUUUAAUUAUUACUUUUUAAAACACUAAUAUGUGACAUGUAUUAGUAGUGAUGUUGUGCUGAGGGUUAAAAUGCCUUUUUGUCUUUUGGUAACUACAAAAUGACAAUAAACCAUUAAUAUAUGUCUA